UCGGUUUGAGUGAGAGUGAAAGAAUAUUCAAGUUUUGGCCGACACAUGGCUGGGGUCGUUCGCAUAAGCAGACUCAAAAAGCCGAGCAAAAAACUAUUUUCUCUUACGCCGGCAGCUAAGAAUAGACUGCGCCAGAUACUGGAAUGUCAUAAGACACCGGUCGAAGGGAUUCGCGUGAGCGUCAAGAAAGGUGGCUGUAAUGGAUACAUGUACGCCAUGCAUUUUGUGGAUAAGAUUUGUCCGACGGACGAAGUGGUGAAGGACGAUGACGCGCGCGCAUUGGAAUGGGGGGGGGAUUACGCACGUGUGCAGAUGUGACGAUUGUGAUCGAUCCCAAGGCUGUGUUCGCGAUUGUUGGAACGGAGAUGGACUAUGUUCAGAGCAAGGUUAAAUCCGAGUUUAUUUUUACGAAUCCGAAUGCGAAGAAUACGUGCGGCUGUGGAGAGUCCUUCAGUACGGGAAAGACAACACCGAAUCUGUGAUCUCUCGGCCGCGCAACGCGCGCGUCGAAGGCAGAGGGGCGCACACGCGCUGUUGGAGAGAGGAGGUAAAGACGGCGCACUGUCUGAGAGGACGGCCGCAGUUUCUCGAGCGGAGGCGACUGGGCGAAUGCUGGGGACAAAGACAGAGUGGGCUCGAUGGGCGAAUUUUUUUUUGAAUGUGAAGAGGAAAAAGUGCGGCGCGCGCGGCCCAAGUUUGUAUAGAAUUAAUUA